UACGUAGGGGGCAAGCGUUGUCCGGAUUUACUGGGCGUAAAGAGCGUGUAGGCGGCUUUACAGGUCCGUUGUGAAAACUCGAGGCUCAACCUCGAGACGCCGGUGGAAACCGUAAGGCUAGAGUCCGGAAGAGGAGAGUGGAAUUCCUGGUGUAGCGGUGAAAUGCGCAGAUAUCAGGAAGAACACCAAUGGCGAAAGCAGCUCUCUGGGACGGUACUGACGCUGAGACGCGAAAGCGUGGGGAGCGAACAGG
rnacentral:rRNA from 1 species